rnacentral:lncRNA from 1 species
UAAAACCCUCAGGUGAGACGUACCCUCUCUAUUCCCAGAGGACAGUAGCAUCUUUAUUUGUGAAGGUGAAGGGCCUCAGAGGAAAGUCUGAUCAGUGGUGCCUUGCUCAGUUUACUUCACGUUAGAUCAUUUCCUCUAUCACAUUUCUCCACAGUUGUCUAUUCUUCAUCAAACCUCUCAUAAAAGUAUCAGGUUUAACCCUUUAUCUGAGUCUCCAUUUCUUUAUGGAGGCUCCCAUUUCAUCUAAAACAUAUAUUUAAUACUUGUGAAUGUUUUUCUCUUGAUAAUCUGUCAUUUAUUAUCUUCUGUUUGAGGGAUCUCAGCCAUGAACCCAAAAUGGGUAGAGGAAAAGUUACAUUUUCCUUUCAUAUAGUAUGUUUCAGUGGACAUGUAUUUCAUUUCUCUUGAGCAUGUACCUGAGUGGCAUUUCUGUGUAUGUGUACAUUUAGCUCAGAGGACACUACCAAGCAAUUGAUCAAGGUGAUUAUUCCAGUCUCUAAUCUAUUCAAAUCUAUAUUCCAGUCUAUAUUUCAGCCAUGUAUAGAGUUCCGCUUGUUUCACUGCCCUACAAACCCUUGGUAUUUUCCAUCUACUCCAUUGUUAUUUUCCUAGUGAACUUAUGGUGGUAUCUCAAUAUGCUUUUAGUUUUAAUUUGUGUUUAUUCUCUCUCUGAUGAAUUAAGUAUCUAUUUAUUCACUUGUUUUUUAAUUUAUUUUUUGUACCAGAGAUUGAACCCAGAGGCACUUAACCAUUGAGCUUUUUAGUUUUUAAUUUUUUAUUUUGAGACAGGGUCUCACAAAGUUGCUUAGUACCUCACUAAGUUGCUGAGGCUGGCUUUGAACUUGUGAUCCUUUCUUAGAUUCUAAGUGUCUCUUAAUCCAAAUAAGGUCCAUGCUUUUUUAUUUAACCUUCCAAUUUAUUUGCUGAGAAUAUUCUUAUCUUGUGGAGUUUCAAUUCUGGAUUUUGCUGAUUGAUUCUGUAUUGAGUUGUUAUAUCCCUCUGUCUCCUUCUGUUUUACCUAAAUUGAUAUGUAGGUUUAAGACUUUUUUAGACUCAAGUGUUUGCACAGGGGACCUCAGAUAUAGGGGUGUGUAUUCUUGUAGGAUUGCAUCAGGAGCCACACUGUGUCUCUCCUGUGUAUUGAGAUUGGUUAUAGGGUUCAGGAGUGGGCAGCUUCAUCCAUCCAGUAUAUAAUUUUUCAUCUUCCUUUCAUAUCAAGGUUCCCCCUGGUCUCUGAUGAUCGUUACCUUGAUCUGAAUUUCAUUAAAUUUUGUGAAAAUAAUGAUGUUCUAAUUCUGAUUUCUUCUGCAUACAUUUUCUGGAAUCUUCUAUAAAAAAUUUUUCCCUCAUCAAAUAUUCGGUUCCACUGGGGUAUGGGAUGAAGAGGAAUGAUAGGAUGAGUUCUUUGUUUUUGUAGUAUUUCCACUUUUCAAAACAAUGAGUUGCGCAAUCAGGGAGAAUGCAAAUCAAAACUACACUGAAAUUUCAUUUCACCCCAGUCAAAAUAGCAAUGAUGAACAACAGAAAUACCGAUAAUUGUUGGUGAUAAUUUGGGGGAAAUGGUAGACUACUACAUCAUUGGUAUGGCUAUAAAUUAGUACAACAACUUUGGAAAGCAGCACAAAGAUUGAUCAAAAGAUUAGGAAUGGAAACACCAUAUGACCCAGUUAUCUAAAUUUUUUUGUUAUUUAUUCAAUAUUUAAAAUCAACAUACUGUAGUGACACAUGCAUAUCAACAUUUAUAACAGCACAAUCCACCAUAGCCAAGUUAAAGAACAGACUAGGUGCCUGCCCAUCAAUAGGCAAAUGGAUCAAGAAAAUGUGAGAUUGAUCUAUCUGUCUGUCUGUCUGUCUAUCUAUCUAUCUAUCUAUAUGUGUGUAUACACACACACACACACACAAAAUGGAGUUAUGCUCAGCCAUAAGGAAGAAUGAAAUUAUGUCAUUUAUUGAUAAAUUAUUUCAUCUCCCUGCAUUCCAGGAUCUGGUGUUUUAAAAGGGUCACAAAAGUAAUCCCCUUCAGGGUAACUGGGGUUCUUCUCAUGGAUAUUAUUUCAGGUCUGCAUUUCUUUUGCAGAUAACAAAUAGUUUGCUGAGGAAUGUGACAUAUCACUUAAACCAGGCAGGGCUGCUGGUAAAUUGCUUCUUGGAAAAAAAGCACAUGGAAGUCAGCACAUGGACCUGUUUUAUGUAAUUAUUUUCUUAACCUUGUUUUUACCACUCACAUCUUUCUGUCCCCUAUCACCAAGAGGCUUGAUGGGAGAAGGCCUUGCCUGUCGGAUCCCUGUUUCUCUUUACACUGUCAGCAAUCAUGUAAGUCAUUCUUGUUAUGCAGCAGGAGUAGGUGUGUAUUGAGGCUAGAUGUGUUUUAUCGUGGAUGUUCCUCCACUUGGAGAAAAUAUCAGGAAUGCAGUAUAAGAAUUCCUGAGAAUAAACUAUUGUAUGGUUAGAUUGACUAGGUUUUCCCCUAAUAAAUGUCUAUAUUAUUGUAGAUAUGCCUCCCUGCAAUAACUCAAAUGGCAUUUUGGUGUUCCUAGAUCAUUUAGUCCCAUGACUAUGGACAGCCUCUUGAGUUUUCUGCCACAGAUGGCUAAUUGCAUAGGAUGGUAUGUGAGUUUUGCAUGUUCCCCUCUGAAGGCUAGCUCAACUUCAAGAGCCCUAGGAGACAUCUGUCCCUGGGUUUCUAUGGACAAGUGAUACUCUCCUAAGGUCAUUUUUAAAGACAACACAAUUCCUGAUAGCAAAAUAUGCUUUAUUCCAACAACCUGGCCAGAGUGUUCCCAAACCCUCAAUCCCCACUUCUGUUAUCUAAUUAGUAUGGUUUCUCAUGUAUCUUGAAGGUUGAAGAUGUUUUGAUUUCAGAGAAAGCCCUAGGGACCGAAGGGAAAAAAAUGCUUGAAAGGCAUUUCCAGAGUAUAGGAACAACCUGCACAUUAUGGUAGCCAUAGAAACAUGAUGUCAUCAUGUUGACAGUGAUAACAUUAAACUGUUGUCUCCUUUGAAAAGGAGACAAAUUUGCUCUGGUUGGAGAGCAGGGCUGUGCCUCCAGUUUUCUGAACUUAGCAUAGGGUGUGAGUGUCCUGUGGUGGGGACUGAGCCUCACUGGGUUGUGGGGAGAGGAAGGGAUCCCAGAACUGAGUUGCUUUGUUCCUACUCUGGGGCUUGGUGUCUCCACUGACUGGAGAGGAAGAGAGAUGUGGGACCCUCCUGGCCUCAGGCAGCAUGAUGUCCUGCCCCAAGGUGUCCUGGACCUACUUUCUAUGUAAAGAAGUGCUGGAGGAUGAGACUGGGAAGGGUCUUCUGUGACCCAGCUUCUCCUCUGUAAAAUGGGGGUAGAAAUGCUCACCCAAGGGAUUACUGGUACUUUCAGUGAUAAAACACAGUGCAAGCCCAUAUCCCUGUAGUAUUGUGGGAUCAUAAAUGCCCGUAUGAAUUUAGGCCACUUCUUAUUCCUUUUCAAUUUUAUUUUUACAGGAUGAUAGACAAGAAACAGAGAAGAAACAGG